rnacentral:rRNA from 1 species
GAUGAACGCUGGCGGCGUGCCUAAUACAUGCAAGUCGAGCGGACGGACGAGAAGCUUGCUGCUCUGGUGUUAGCGGCGGACGGGUGAGUAACACGUGGAUAACCUACCUAUAACACUUGGAUAACUUCGUGAAACCGGAGCUAAUACGGGAUAAUCUUUUGAUCCGCAUGGUUCAAAAGUGAAAGGCGAUCUUGCCGGCAGUUAUAGAGGGAUCCGCGCUGCAUUAGCUAGUUGGUAAGGUAACGGCUUACCAAGGCAACGAUGCAUAGCCGACCUGAGAGGGUGAUCGGCCAGACUGGAACUGAGACACGGUCCAGACUCCUCCGGGAGGCAGCAGAAGGGAAUCGUCCGCAAUGGGCGGAAGCCUGACGGAGCAACGCGGCGUGAGUGAUGAAGGUGUUCGGAUCGUGAAGCUCUGUUAUUAGGGAAGAACAGAUGUGUAAGUAACUGUGCACAGCUUGACGGUACCUAAUUAGAAAGCCCCGGCUAACUACGUG